rnacentral:SRP_RNA from 1 species
GCUGGGUGUUGUGGCGGGUACCUGUAGUUCCCACUACUCGAGAGGCUGAGGCAGGAGGAUUGUUUGAGCCCAGGAGUUCAAGAUUGCUGUGAGCAAGGCUGACACCACGGCACUCUAGCCUGGGCAAUAGAAUGAGACUCCGUCUCAA